GAGUAACUGUUUCCCUGAAGCUCGUUUUCCUACUUCAGUGGUUCAUCAAUGCCAUAAAAUAACAAAAGCGGCACCGUGUCCCCUCAAUUUCAUUUUGCAGGGCUACAAAAUGGAAGAAGAGCAAGUGAAACCUCAAAACGAUACCGCUUUCACUGAAGACGACGACGACGACCCUCCAACGUUAAGUUCACACGCUCUGGCUGCUUUGAAAGAGUUCCUCCAACAACAACAACCCAUCACUGACCAAACUUCACAAACCGACGGAGAAGGUUCUGAAACCGGAGAGAAAGUAGCCUUAGUAGCAGAGGACUGGAGGCUUAGCCAGUUUUGGUACGACCCGUUAACCGCAGAGACUGUAGCAAACGAGGUUCUUGCUUUAUUAACCAAUCCCAGUUCACUCGCAGUUUGUAUCGCUUGUCCAACCCUUUAUGCUUACAUCAAGAAAAUUGAUCCGAGUGUGAAUGUGCAAUUACUGGAGUAUGACAAGAGAUUUGAGCAAUAUGGGAGUGAUUUCACAUUUUAUGAUUAUAAUAAACCAGAAGAUUUGCCUGGUCAACUUAAGCAUGCUUUUCAAGUUGUUGUUGCAGAUCCUCCUUAUUUGAUUUUGUUGUGCUAUAAUUUCUACUUGAUCGAGUCAGGAGUGCUUAGAAAAGGUUGCUCAAGCAAUUUCUUUUCUUGCAAUACCAGGAAAAUCAUAUUUGCUUCUGCUCACAGGAGACGUGCAGAAGGAUAAGGCAGCUGAGCUCUUAGGAUUGCAUUCAUGUGGUUUUAGGCCUCAACAUUCUAGCAAACUUGGGAAUGAAUUUAGGCUAUUCACAAACUAUGACCCUGGAAUGAGACUAGGAGGGUGGGAGCUGGAGAAAUAGAUCUUUUCUCUCUCCAUGGAUCUGACUUUGGACCAUUGAUUCGAUGCAGAGAAUGAUUAUAACGGGAGCCUUUCCUUUAACGAUAAAUCGAAAAGUCGAGGUAGAUCGAUGCAUUUAAGAAUGCCUACACUAUUGACGUGGGUGUAUGGUGCAAAAUUUUCAGCUUCCUCCUGAACCCCAGGAUAUCUUCUGCUUAUUUUAAUAUUUGAUUUCUUGGAAAUUUUAGUUUGUAAUUUUGGAUGUGUGAAUUAGUCCAAUGCAAACUGUCUAGAGAGAAUUUUUGAGAUUUUAAAUCAGAACCGCUUUCAGAUGUGCUCUCGCACUAGCCAAGUAAAACUCACAGGUUGUACUUCAAUCAACCAGUUUUUGUCA